rnacentral:rRNA from 1 species
AGGACGAACGCUGGCGGCGUGCUUAACACAUGCAAGUCGAGCGGUAAGGCCUUUCGGGGUACACGAGCGGCGAACGGGUGAGUAACACGUGGGUGAUCUGCCCUGCACUUCGGGAUAAGCCUGGGAAACUGGGUCUAAUACCGGAUAUGCCCUCCUAUCGCAUGGUGGGUGGUAGGAAAGAUUUAUCGGUGCAGGAUGGGCCCGCGGCCUAUCAGGUCUUGGUUGGUGGGGUAAUGGCCUAACCGAAGGCGACGGACGGGUAGCCGACCUGAGGAGGGUGACCGGCCACACGUGGGACUGACGACGACGGCCCAGACUCCUACGGGACGCAGCAGGUGGGAUAGUGCACAAGUGGGCGAAAGCCUGAUGCAGCGACGCCGCGUGGAGGAUGGACCGGCCGUUACGGGUACGUAAACCUCGUUACAGCGUAGGGAACGAACGGCGAC